CAAUGCGGUCCAUGUAGGAGCUGCCGAAGGCUGCGAUCUUUUGAUCUUGUUCUUAAAAGCAACGUCAAAAGAUCGCAGCCUUCGGCAGCUCCUACAGAUCGG
rnacentral:misc_RNA from 1 species